rnacentral:rRNA from 1 species
UACGUAGGUGGCAAGCGUUGUCCGGAAUUAUUGGGCGUAAAGCGUGCGCAGGCGGUUCGUGAUGUCUGGUGUGAAAGCCCCGGGCUUAACCUGGGAAUUGCAUUGGAAACUAGCGGGCUGGAGUGUGGCAGAGGGGGGUGGAAUUCCACGUGUAGCAGUGAAAUGCGUAGAGAUGUGGAGGAACACCGAUGGCGAAGGCGACUACCUGGCCUGUUCUUGACGCUGAGGCGCGAAAGCUAGGGGAGCAAACGGG